rnacentral:rRNA from 1 species
GAUCAACGCUGGCGGCGUGCCUAAUACAUGCAAGUCGAGCGAACGGACGAGAAGCUUGCUUUUCUGAUGUUAGCGGCGGACGGGUGAGUAACACGUGGAUAACCUACCUAUAAGACUGGGAUAACUUCGGGAAACCGGAGCUAAUACCGGAUAAUAUUUUGAACCGCAUGGUUCAAAAGUGAAAGACGGUCUUGCUGUCACUUAUAGAUGGAUCCGCGCUGCAUUAGCUAGUUGGUAAGGUAACGGCUUACCAAGGCAACGAUGCAUAGCCGACCUGAGAGGGUGAUCGGCCACACUGGAACUGAGACACGGUCCAGACUCCUACGGGAGGCAGCAGUAGGGAAUCUUCCGCAAUGGGCGAAAGCCUGACGGAGCAACGCCGCGUGAGUGAUGAAGGUCUUCGGAUCGUAAAACUCUGUUAUUGGGGAAGAACAUAUGUGUAAGUAACUGUGCACAUCUUGACGGUACCUAAUCAGAAAGCCACGGCUAACUACGUG